UACGGAGGGUGCAAGCGUUAUCCGGAUUCACUGGGUUUAAAGGGUGCGUAGGUGGAUUGGUAAGUCAGUGGUGAAAUCUCCAGCUUAACUUGGAAACUGCCAUGGAUACUAUUAGUCUUGAAUGUUGUGGAGGUUAGCGGAAUAUGUCAUGUAGCGGUGAAAUGCUUAGAUAUGACAUAGAACACCAAUUGCGAAGGCAGCUUACUAUAACAGUUAUUGACGCUGAGGCACGAAAAGCGUGGGGAUCAAACAGG
rnacentral:rRNA from 1 species